GUGAGCACUUCGAUGCGACGUGAACCAGGGUUGAUAACUUGUCAUAUGAGCAUCCAUUGAAGGCCAACACCGUGGACUUAGCUACAUGUUUUACGUUAGCCGGAGUAUCCGAAUUUAUGUUAUACAAACAAACAUACAGUACUUAUACUUUUCAGGAAGACAUUCCUGAACCUACGUACUCGGAGAAAGCUGCGUGCUUGAAUGGUGAAGCCACCAAUCUCAGAGCCCUGCACCUCCAGGGUCUACCGACACAAUAAAUGCUACUGCAAUCUCAGAGCCCUGCACCUUGAGGCGCCAAGGGUCCAUUCUCGGGAAGUGAAAACACACUCCGAGCACAACCAGUGAAUAAUAACUUCAUGAGGGAGACCGAGGCCUCAUAGCUGGAGACACUUGAGGCCCAGCGUCAGCAGCAGGACCUGUUCUAAACUGCAUGUAUAAGAACAGGUCUAAUGGUGUUUUGUCCCAAAGGGUGUUGGUGUCUGUGAGAGGAGGGAGAAAUCACAAAUAAAGAGGAAAUCUG